AUGAGACCUACCGAUCAGACACUCUCAUACAGGUGUUUACUGAGUUUUGGUUGAACCAGAAUCCCAUCAGCAUUGACCGACAAUCAUUCUCUCAUACAGCCUCGCCACCGUAUGACCUGAGAUUACAAAGAGGACCGUACCAAUACUGGUUUGUGAGUACUUUGGUACACUUCGCUGUAGUCUUGUUAUCCUGUAAACCAGCUUGGCUUGUACAUUUAUACAGUUUUAAGUUUUGAUUAAAACAGAAUUUUUGAAAGAAAGAUAUGUGGUUUUAGCUUAGGGAAAAAAUAUCUUGAAUUGUUCUAAUGGUGUAUGAUAUUGGAUGGACAAUAUUCAUGUAUACCUGUCUGUAU